CCCUUGCAUUUCCUUGCCAUUUUAAGUAGAUAAAAGGGGCUUACAGAUGAGACAAAAAGAUAACUGAUUGAUAAGAAAGGAGAUCAUCAUUAUCACCAUUAUCCACUUGUUUAUUCCAGGUCAUUGGAAUUCUUCAUAUAUGGUGCACAGUGUUCCUUCAGAACUAAAGGUAGAAGGUGGUUCUGUGGCUGUGAGUGGAGUGACUCAGAGGCAGAGCACAGACUUGCAAUCUUGGGACUAGCGCCUUCCAACCUCACAACUUGGUACUUUCUCAUCCGCCACAAGAUUGACUGAGGCUUCAUGGCCAAGAAACUUCUGCUGGUAAGAGCCUGGCCUCAAAACAGGAAAAUCUUAGCCGUGAGAAGUGCUUGUUUGCUGUAGAAUUUUCUCCCAUUACAGGGGUCUGAAUAGUGGAAGAGUUCUCUCUAGUGACCACAGCUGGUGCCACUCUGUCAGACACACAGCAACGUUCUUCGUGUCUUCUUCGUGACGCUGUCAUGAGAUGCACAGGCACACAGAACCAACUCGGCCCCUCCACCCCCUGCUCCCCGCCCUUGACCGCUGCAGAUCCAGCCUCAACGCCUGAGGCGCUGCCUUAGACCUGAAAUGCCCUGGCUUUCUCCUCUCCCGGUGCCGUGGAGGCUGCGCUGCCUCUGUGCUCGGGACGCCUCCCCGAAGCCGAAGCCGAGAUAUCCUCACACCUGCCCGGGCCUCUGCAGGACCUGCCUUCUCUGCCAUCAGCAAAGGAAAGGUGUUCACAGGACUAUGUGAGAAGAUUCUCCUGGCUUCCAGCGGGAAGCAGGAGUCCAUCCCCACGUGUCUGCGUGACCUGAAGUGACCCACCCUCCCUGGAGAAGCGGCCUGGCCAUAACGACCUGUGUGCCUCACACCAGAUGCUCUUUCUCCCCCCAGCCUUUCCCUGUGUGGUUCUCCCCGCCCAGAAGUCUCCUCCCCGGCCUCUUCCCCAAGCUAAGCCCUCCUCGCUCUGCAAGGCUCAGCGCGUCCCGUCCUGUAGGAAACCUUUGCUGAAGGGCCUCGAGGGGCCUCUCUCCCUGUUAUAGGACUCAGUCCCUGGGCUGUCAUGGCUUCUCUACUCUGAGGCCCCUCAGGGUAGGAAAACCUGUGUUGGUUUUAUCUCCAGCUCUUAGCUCAGUGUGUGGCACGUAGUAGGGUGUUUAUCACACAUUUAUUUAUUAAGUCACUUACUUAAGUCAGUGAGACUGCCUGCUAGCUACCGAGGCCUGUGGGAAAAAUCGGCUGAGUGGGUUAUGCAAACAAACCUACCCAGGGAAACCUCAGGACCGGCAAUGAGCAUGGCAUUGAGUUGAAUAAUGAUCGCUUUUUAAAAAAAUGACGAUGUGACACACAGAGGUACAGUUAUAAUAAUUUGCACCUGAGGGUCGUUUGAUAGGCAUGCAUAUUCCUAGAUCCCUGGAGACUCUCAAGAACAAAAUGUUUCAUCUGCAUUUUAGCAAAGCUACACUUAGAAAAAAAUAAAAUACGGAAUGUUUACAACUUGAGCUUCAGUUUUGAUCCUCAAAUCAAAACACAUGCCUCAGUCUGUCCUCAAACCACACACAGGAUCUGAAGUCCUGCCCUUUUUUCCUGGAAGCCAAAGAAACCUCAGAAUACGCUGGCAGGCAGUCCUUUUCUACCCUCUCUAGUUUUUCUUCCAUUUUACUUCUUAAAAACACAGAAUUAUCAUGAGAAGAUAAUUCAGGUUUGGGAAGAGUGGAAGGAAUACAUACAUUCAUCAAGAAAAAACCUGUUGGGUUUCUCUUUCGUGCUAGGAAACUCAGUGCCCACAAGGCCUAAUGAACUGGGGACAUGCACUGGGGUGUGUGUGUCUAUGUUUAAGGAUCUGGGUAGAAAGCUGCAAACUUUGGGACUGCAAAGCUGGCAACUUGCUACUGCAUAAAAAUUCCAGACCGAUAGAGAUCUAGGAGUAACACUUGCUGUAAUAGCACACAGCAUUUUCGCUGGCUUUUACUCUUAACUCAUUAGCACAAAUUCUCUGGAAAACAGUGGCAGAGCCAUCCUCCCUCACCCGAGAGACUCCCCGUCUUUGGAGGUAGACCUCUGCUUGGAGGUGGCCUUCCCAUGAGGAAAACAAACAUGAAACACAGAAGGGUCACGAGCAGUCUGUUUUCUCACAGGCUCCCCUUUACUGGAAAGUGUUUCCUUGAGAACAUCACGGCUUUAGGUGUUAUACCUGAAGUGGGGCCCCCUCCUUCAAGGACCCUAAGCCCAGUUCUCCAGGAUAAUCUGACAAUAAUACCUUUUCUAUAAAAGCACUUUGGCAUCACCCCUUGGCCUGCGCUACUUCCUCCUCCUCCUCCCUCGUCUUGAUUCCAACAUCCUUUAAGGUCUGCUCCAAAUCUCACCAGCCCACCAUGCUAACUAAGCCUUCCCUGAUGACUUGAUCCCACACCAGUGGAAUGUUUGUCUGAAUGGCAAUAAAAAGGGCCUCUGUUGAUUGAGUGCCUAUUCUUUGCA